UACGGAGGGUGCAAGCGUUGUCCGGAUUUAUUGGGCUUAAAGGGUGCGUAGGCGGUCUUUUAAGUCAGUGGUGAAAGCCUCCAGCUUAACUGGAGAACUGCCAUUGAUACUGGAAGACUUGAGUACAGACGAGGUAGGCGGAAUUGACAGUGUAGCGGUGAAAUGCAUAGAUAUGUCACAGAACACCGAUUGCGAAGGCAGCUUACUAAAGUGCGAUUGACGCUGAGGCACGAAAGCGUGGGGAUCAAACAGG
rnacentral:rRNA from 1 species